rnacentral:ncRNA from 1 species
CAAAGGGGUGCCCAAACGGGCUGAGAUCAUACCCUACGAACCUGAUACGGUUAGUACCGGCGAAGGGAUUGUUA